rnacentral:rRNA from 1 species
CCCUUAGAUGUUCUGGGCCGCACGCGCGCUACACUGACGGAGUCAACGAGUUGUCCUGCAUCGGAAGGUGUGGGUAAUCUUUUGAAACUUCGUCGUGCUGGGGAUAGAUCUUUGCAAUUUUCGAUCUUGAACGAGGUAUUCCUAGUAAGCGUGAUUCAUCAGAUCGCGUUGAUUACGUCCCUGCCCUUUGUACACACCGCCCGUCGCUACUACCGAUUGAAUGGUUUAGUGAGGCCUCGGGACUGGCGCGCUCGAGUAGCAAUACACCUGCGCGCCGGGAACUUGGUCAAACUUGAUCAUUUAGAGGAAGUAAAANUCGUAACA